GAGACGGUAGAGACAGGGGAGAGGCAGAGACAGUUGCAAGAGCCGGGGACCGAGAGAGCCGAGCGAGAACGGGGAAACCCCCCGAGCGGGAGCCGCAGGCCAGAGGCGGGAGAGACACCUGUGGGGGAGAGUGCGGAGAGAGAGAGAGAGAGAGAGAGAGAGCCUCCGAGCCGCAGGCGCAGGGACCGGGAGGACCGACUCGCGAGGAAGGCGCAGACAUGGUGGGAGACCCAUGCGAGGGGGCCAGAGACCGCCAAGCGGGACAGGUCCAGAGGCCGGGGCAGGCGGCUCAGGAGAGCCCGAGAGGGCUCCGGCUUUCUUACAAGUCCAGAGAGGGAGGGGAAGAUGGGGGAGAGACAAAGGCAGAGACAGACCCGGAGACUCGAGGAGCGGCGCCAGCGGGCGGGCGGCAGGCAGCCUGGGAGAAAGCUCCCACUCGGGGACGGGGACCCAGGAACCCGAGCAGGGAACCGAAGGGGAGAGAGGACCAGGAAAGCACCGGGCAAGGGGGGCUAGCCAGGAAGAGAGGGGCAAAGACGGAGAGCCUUUGGAAGCAGGAGGGGGCAGAAUCUGAAGUGGACGGGGACAGGACCGAGUGACACACUUGCACGAGGUUUGGGGGUGAUGGUGGAGAGAGGCGCAGGGAAAGCGGGGAGCAGUGGGAUAGAGGGCUAAAACAAGUGUAUGGGGCACGCAGAGGCAGGGGACUUUUGUCAGGACACUCCGACUACUUGGGAGGAGAAGAUCGGGGUCUUGGCAGAAGUUGUGACACUGAAGGGGAGGGGUGGAGAUUCCCAUUAAGUGGAAAGGGAGGGAGAGAGAUUGGAGAAAGAGAAGUAAGGACUACUAGUGACUGGGUCCAGAGGCGGAAUCAGUGCGGUGGGGGAAAAGGCUGGUUCUAGAAUCUGAGCACCCUGGUUCGAAUUCCCAUCCUAACACUACCACGUGUGAACUUGGGCAAGGAACUCCACUUCUCUGGGUCUCAGUUUCUUUAUCUGUAAAAUGAAGGGGUUUGAUUGAACUUCAAAGGUCCAUUUCAAAACAGAGCUUGUGAGCUCAGAAGUAUGUAUUUAUUGAGAUGGUUACAACAAAGUGGUAGUAUAUUGAAGUGUGUCUCCAGUCUGGAGAAGUGCUAAAUGUUAAGAUUCUGGUUCCUAAUGCCAUCUCUACUUUGAGGUUUCAGUGGCCCCUUUUUCUAGGAUACCAGUUUUCUCCAGAUUCUUUAUUUCAUAAUCUCUGAAGCUCUGGUGCAUUCCCUCUGAAGUCCUUAGUUUUUAAUUGUAAAGUCUUUGCCAAAGUGGUUGUAUUGUUCCCUCUCUAGGAUCAAAGUUGAACAAAGUUGUGAUUUGGAUGAUUCCCUCAAAGACCAG
rnacentral:lncRNA from 1 species